rnacentral:rRNA from 1 species
UACGUAGGGGGCUAGCGUUGUCCGGAAUCAUUGGGCGUAAAGAGCGUGUAGGCGGCCCGGUAAGUCCGCUGUGAAAGUCGGGGGCUCAACCCUCGAAUGCCGGUGGAUACUGUCGGGCUUGAGUACGGAAGAGGCGAGUGGAAUUCCUGGUGUAGCGGUGAAAUGCGCAGAUAUCGGGAAGAACACCCGUGGCGAAGGCGGUUCUCUGGGACGGUACUGACGCUGAGACGCGAAAGCGUGGGGAGCGAACAGG